rnacentral:rRNA from 1 species
AAAUGAAUAGACGGGGACCCGCACAAGCAGCGGAGCAUGUGGUUUAAUUCGAAGCAACGCGAAGAACCUUACCUGGAUUUGACAUCCCUCUGACCGUCUCCUAAUCGAGACCUUUCCUUCGGGGACAGAGGAGACAGGUGGUGCAUGGUUGUCGUCAGCUCGUGUCGUGAGAUGUUGGGUUAAGUCCCGCAACGAGCGCAACCCCUAUUUUUAGUUGCCAUCAGGUAAAGCUGGGCACUCUAAAGAGACUGCCAAGGUAAACUUGGAGGAAGGUGGGGAUGACGUCAAAUCAUCAUGCCCCUUAUGUCCAGGGCUACACACGUGCUACAAUGGCCGAUACAACGGGCAGCUAAGGAGCAAUCCGGAGCAAAUCCUAAAAAAUCGGUCCCAGUUCGGAUUGUGGGCUGCAAUUCGCCCAUAUGAAGUCGGAGUUGCUAGUAAUCGUGAAUCAGAAUGUCGCGGUGAAUGCGUUCCCGGGUCUUGUACACACCGCCCGU